UCUUUAAAAAGAGACUGCUGAUUCGUGGGAUGCGUUUUUCUGACCAAUCGAUCCAAUUCAUCCCACAUAAGCUCAAUUGGAGAAAGGUCUGGAGAUUGAGGGGGCCAAACCAUCUUUUGAAGAACACCUUCCUCUUCUUUUUUGUCUAGGUAACCCUGACAGAGCUUGGCAGAGUGCUUAGGGUCAUUGUCUUGCUGCAAAACAAACUUAUGAGCCACAAGUCUGAGUCCAGAUGGAAUAGCAUGGUGCUGGAGGAUGGAGUGG